ACGCACGCUGGCGGCGUGCCUAAUACAUGCAAGUAGAACGCUGAAGGAGGAGCUUGCUCUUCUGGAUGAGUUGCGAACGGGUGAGUAACGCGUAGGUAACUUGCCUGGUAGCGGGGGAUAACUAUUGGAAACGAUAGCUAAUACCGCAUAACAGUAGAUGUUGCAUGACAUUUGCUUAAAAGGUGCAAUUGCACCACUACCAGAUGGACCUGCGUUGUAUUAGCUAGUUGGUGGGGUAACGGCUCACCAAGGCGACGAUACAUAGCCGACCUGAGAGGGUGAUCGGCCACACUGGGACUGAGACACGGCCCAGACUCCUACGGGAGGCUGCAGUAGGGAAUCUUCGGCAAUGGACGGAAGUCUGACCGAGCAACGCCGCGUGAGUGAAGAAGGUUUUCGGAUCGUAAAGCUCUGUUGUAAGAGAAGAACGAGUGUGAGAGUGGAAAGUUCACACUGUGACGGUAUCUUACCAGAAAGGGACGGCUAACUACGUG
rnacentral:rRNA from 1 species